AUGCACGCUGGCGGCGUGCCUCAUCCCUGCAAGUCGAGCGCACGGACGAGAAGCUUGCUUUUCUGAUGUUAGCGGCGGACGGGUGAGUAACACGUGGAUAACCUACCUAUAAGACUGGGAUAACUUCGGGAAACCGGAGCUAAUACCGGAUAAUAUUUUGAACCGCAUGGUUCAAAAGUGAAAGACGGUCUUGCUGUCACUUAUAGAUGGAUCCGCGCUGCAUUAGCUAGUUGGUAAGGUAACGGCUUACCAAGGCAACGAUGCAUAGCCGACCUGAGAGGGUGAUCGGCCACACUGGAACUGAGACAUGGUCCAGACUCCUACGGGAGGCAGCAGUAGGGAAUCUUCCGCAAUGGGCGAAAGCCUGACGGAGCAACGCCGCGUGAGUGAUGAAGGUCUUCGGAUCGUAAAACUCUGUUAUUAGGGAAGAACAUAUGUGUAAGUAACUGUGCACAUCUUGACGGUACCUAAUCAGAAAGCCACGGCUAACUACGUG
rnacentral:rRNA from 1 species